rnacentral:lncRNA from 1 species
CUAAAUUUAUUAACAACAUAAAAUAUUUUAAUUUUAAAUAUCUGAGAUAUACCAAUCAAAACUAUAGGCAUAGCUGCAAGUUUAAAUAAAGGAUUUCUUCAUAAACUUCAUAGAUACUGUUUUUCCCAUUCGUCCUUUUUUCAUCUUCCAACUUUAUCCAUUUACUAUUGAAUCUAUCUCAACACAACCAGAUACAUGAUCUGUUUACCUAAUUCCUUAGAAAAAUGUCCACUUACUCAUACUUUUUUUUUUUUGGUGAGGAAGAUUCACUCUGAGCUAGCAUCUGUCGCCAAUCUUCGUUUUUUUUUUUUUUUUUACUUGAGUAAGAUUAGCGCUGAGCUAAUAUCUGAGCCAAUCUUCUUCUCUUUUGUAUGUGGGUUGCUGCCACAGCAUGGCUUGACCAGUGGUGUAGAUCUGCACCUGGGAUCCGAACCUGUGAACCCCGAUCACCAAAUUGGAGUGAGCCAGACUCAACCACUACGCCAUGGGGCCAGCCCUGACUUAUACUCUCUUAAUGUGAUUGCAUUGGAGAAUGGAAUGACUGGCCACAAGAAGAAAGUAGUUAUGAAAUUUCAACAUCCAUUCUUCAGAAAGGGGGAAGCCAACCUUCUGGGAGACAUCCAGCUCAAGGCCUAUGAAAUGAAACAAUAG